GACGAACGCUGGCGGCGUGCUUAACACAUGCAAGUCGAACGGAAAGGCCCUGCUUUUGUGGGUUGCUCGAGUGGCGAACGGGUGAGUAACACGUGAGUAACCUGCCCUUGACUUUGUGAUAACUUCAGGAAACUGGGUCUAAUACCGGAUAUGAGCUCCUGCUGCAUGGUGUGGGUUGGAAAGUUUCGGCGGUUGGGGAUGGACUCGCGGCUUAUCAGCUUGUUGGUGUGGUAGUUGCUGACCAAGGGUUUGACGGGUAGCCGGCCUGAGAGGGUUACCGGCCACAUGGGGACUGAGAGACGGACCAGAAUGCUAUGGGAGGCAGCAGGGGGGAAUAUUGCACAAUGGGCGGAAGCGUGAGGCAGCGACGCCGGGUGCGGGAAGACGGCUUUUGGGUGGUAAACAGAUUUCGCAGGUGACGAAGAGUGAGUGACGGUAAUGGGUAAAGAAGCAACGGCUAACUACGUG
rnacentral:rRNA from 1 species